UAAAGCGACCUGUAUACCCACAUGUAUUGAACGAAAUUGGAGUAACCUAAUUGGUUGUGACUUAAUGUUAAAGCUUUGUCUGGAUUAAACUAAUUAUGAUCCGAAGCCCUGUUGUGACUUAAUAUAACUUUUUUGCGUGUGUUGGGAUGUUGAAGAACACAUUUGUAAAUGGAGAUGACAUGUGUGUGAUUAUUGAACAAAAACAAUACAGAUAGCAUUAUUGUUAAACUUUAUUUAUUAGUGACCUUAACAGUUUAAUUGAAAUAUUUAUCAAUUAGUGUUCAUCUAUGACGGAUGUAGAACAACGAAGUGAACAUACCAGUAGUUAAUGUUUGUUUUAAUUCUGGUGUAAACAAAUUGUAUGGCGGAUAAACUGGGAUGUCUUGAAAACACUGUGAAAAUCUGGGACUUCGCAAAAUGUCAACAUGGAAACUGAUAAGGACACGGAUGACAAAAUAAUGAGUUCAUUGUCUGUGAAUGAAUCUCCCAAUCUCCUCAUAGGAUCGUUUGCGACAAAGGCCACCCCAGUUCUCAACAUUCAUUUUACACGGAAAAACCUGCUGCUGGGAGCUGGACCUAUGGAAGUAUCAUGAAACUUGGCAUAAACCUUAUAAUGGUUAAAAUAGAUCCUGAUUGAGGUUCAGAAAUGUGCAGAUAAUAAUUUGUAACAACAAUCUAGAGAACUACUAGUAACCAGGUUUCCCACUGGCGAUCACCAUUAGAGCCAAAUGUGACAAAAUAUUGAUCGUUUCCAAUGACAUAAGCGCAAUGAAUUUUCCUCAAUAUCGAUUUUUAGUGACAUAAGUAGCUUGGUAGAGAAGACCAUGUGCUAUAAACUGGAACAUGUUGACACCAAUUGGGCCAUUAUUAUGUCCCUUUUAUUGCCUAACGGGAUUAGAACAACAUUUUUCAAUGAUCGUUAAGCUAUUACAUGUUGUAUGCUGUGCAUACACUAGAUAAAUUUGGUCCUUCACUUCCGGUAUGGAAAUAUUGUUUUAUUACCUUGUCUCUUUUCUAACGAAAAUUGUUGAGGUAUUGUAAUAGGCUUUGUGUCAGUGGCAUGUGAAACUAUAACAUUGGGCAUAAUGAAAAAGAAAUUUUAAAAAUAUUCGCCCACUUCUUUGUACACAAAAAUUUGCCACCGCCAAUAUGCAGGUGUAUAUCAAGGUCCAUAACUCUGGCUUCAGUUAUUGCGGUGUUAAAACUUCCCUUGACACUGCAUCCUUUUGAAAGAAGUGUGUUGCUUGAAACAUGUUUUAACUUAAUCAUA